rnacentral:lncRNA from 1 species
CUGGGGCUGAGUGUGGCCUGGGGACAGUGCGUGUUAACAGCGCCAGGGGCAGAAAGGCUGACCCGCUGUCUGUCAGGCUGUCAAGGGAGAGAAAAGAAUGACACUCCGGUGCUCCGUUCUGCCUCCAGAGACAGCUGCGAGGGAGGAAAGCAGUGCUACAGAAGCAGAGAAGAGGGACGACCUCACAGAGGCCCACUGGCUGCUCACAACAGGUGCACGUGCAAGACGACUUCACGGAGACGUGGAGCAGGUCAGCAGCCAAAGUCCUCAGCCAGGAGGUAGCUCGGCUGCGUUUUCAACCCAGGUGUUCUGUGUCUGAGACUUUGUUCAUCCCUUCACCUGCUCUGGCCAGGAAGGGCUCCUUAUCGGACAGGGAGCAGGGGAGGGGAAAGGCUUCAAAAAGAGGCAUCCUUAGACGUUCUCAGCUCAGAGGCAGAGGCCCCAAGAAGCUCAGUUAUGAAGCGCCUCGCACCGACCCAGGGCUGUGGAAAGGGCUCCUGCUGCCUCCCCGGGUCGUUGAGAUGUGCAGCUGCUCUCACGGCUGCCGCCCAAUCCCCCGAGUGAUGCCGGCACAGGCAGAUAGCCUCCGACAUCUGCACUGUCCGGUGACAGACCCAGAGGCACAUGGCCUGUCCCGGUAGAGACACAGCACCAGUGGGGCCCGGGAAUCCACCUGCUGCCUAGGCUCCCUUCAGCUGAAAGCUGCACAGAAAAAUGGAAAGUGGG